CUUAACACAUGCAAGUCGAACGGAAAGGCCCUGCUUUUGUGGGGUGCUCGAGUGGCGAACGGGUGAGUAACACGUGAGUAACCUGCCCUUGACUUUGGGAUAACUUCAGGAAACUGGGGCUAAUACCGGAUAGGAGCUCCUGCUGCAUGGUGGGGGUUGGAAAGUUUCGGCGGUUGGGGAUGGACUCGCGGCUUAUCAGCUUGUUGGUGGGGUAGUGGCUUACCAAGGCUUUGACGGGUAGCCGGCCUGAGAGGGUGACCGGCCACAUUGGGACUGAGAUACGGCCCAGACUCCUACGGGAGGCAGCAGUGGGGAAUAUUGCACAAUGGGCGGAAGCCUGAUGCAGCAACGCCGCGUGCGGGAUGACGGCCUUCGGGUUGUAAACCGCUUUCGCCUGUGACGAAGCGUGAGUGACGGUAAUGGGUAAAGAAGCACCGGCUAACUACGUGCCAGCAGCCGCGGUGAUACGUAGGGUGCGAGCGUUGUCCGGAUUUAUUGGGCGUAAAGGGCUCGUAGGUGGUUGAUCGCGUCGGAAGUGUAAUCUUGGGGCUUAACCCUGAGCGUGCUUUCGAUACGGGUUGACUUGAGGAAGGUAGGGGAGAAUGGAAUUCCUGGUGGAGCGGUGGAAUGCGCAGAUAUCAGGAGGAACACCAGUGGCGAAGGCGGUUCUCUGGGCCUUUCCUGACGCUGAGGAGCGAAAGCGUGGGGAGCGAACAGGCUUAGAUACCCUGGUAGUCCACGCUGUAAACGGUGGGUACUAGGUGUGGGGUCCAUUCCACGGGUUCCGUGCCGUAGCUAACGCUUUAAGUACCCCGCCUGGGGAGUACGGCCGCAAGGCUAAAACUCAAAGGAAUUGACGGGGCCCCGCACAAGCGGCGGAGCAUGCGGAUUAAUUCGAUGCAACGCGUAGAACCUUACCUGGGUUUGACAUGGAUCGGGAGUGCUCAGAGAUGGGUGUGCCUCUUUUGGGGUCGGUUCACAGGUGGUGCAUGGCUGUCGUCAGCUCGUGUCGUGAGAUGUUGGGUUAAGUCCCGCAACGAGCGCAACCCUUGUUCACUGUUGCCAGCACGUUAUGGUGGGGACUCAGUGGAGACCGCCGGGGUCAACUCGGAGGAAGGUGGGGAUGACGUCAAGUCAUCAUGCCCCUUAUGUCCAGGGCUUCACGCAUGCUACAAUGGCUGGUACAGAGAGUGGCGAGCCUGUGAGGGUGAGCGAAUCUCGGAAAGCCGGUCUCAGUUCGGAUUGGGGUCUGCAACUCGACCUCGUGAAGUCGGAGUCGCUAGUAAUCGCAGAUCAGCAACGCUGCGGUGAAUACGUUCCCGGGGCUUGUACACACCGCCCGUCAAGUCAUGAAAGUUGGUAACACCCGAAGCCGGUGGCCUAACCGUUGUGGGGGAGCCGUCGAAGGUGGGACUGGUGAUUAGGACUAAGUC
rnacentral:rRNA from 1 species